GAUGAACGCUGACAGAAUGCUUAACACAUGCAAGUCAACUUGAACUUCGGUUUGGGUGGCGGACGGGUGAGUAACGCGUAAAGAACUUGCCUCACAGCUAGGGACAACACUUGGAAACGAAUGCUAAUACCUGAUAUUAUGAGCUUAGGGCAUCCUAGAAUUAUGAAAGCUAUCUGCGCUGUGGGAGAGCUUUGCGUCCCAUUAGCUAGUAGGCGAGGUAACGGCUCACCAAGGCGAGGAUGGGUAGCCGGCCUGGGAGGGUGAACGGCCACAGGGGCACUAGGGCGGGACCAGUCGGGCAGGGGGGGCAAGGGGGGGAAAAUUUAGGAAGCUGAACCAAGGGUGUGAAGAAGGAAUUCGGGGUGCAAAAUGAUUUUGUUGGGAAAGAAAAGUAUUUGGUUUAGACAAAAAAAAAAUGACGGUACCAAAAGAAGAAGCACCGGCUAAAUUCGUG
rnacentral:rRNA from 1 species